rnacentral:rRNA from 1 species
UACGUAGGGUGCGAGCGUUGUCCGGAAUUAUUGGGCGUAAAGAGCUUGUAGGCGGUUUGUCGCGUCUGCUGUGAAAUUUCGGGGCUCAACCCCGAACUUGCAGUGGGUACGGGCAGACUAGAGUGUGGUAGGGGAGACUGGAAUUCCUGGUGUAGCGGUGAAAUGCGCAGAUAUCAGGAGGAACACCAGUGGCGAAGGCGGUGAUCUGGGCCGAUACUGACGCUGUAGAGCGAAAGCGUGGGGAGCGAACAGG